UACGUAGGUGGCAAGCGUUGUUCGGAAUUACUGGGCGUAAAGGGUUUGUAGGUGGCCUGCUAAGUCAGACGUGAAAUCCCUCAGCUUAACUGGGGAACUGCGUCUGAUACUGGCGGGCUUGAGGACAGGAGAGGAACGCGGAAUUCCAGGUGUAGCGGUGAAAUGCGUAGAUAUCUGGAGGAACACCGGUGGCGAAGGCGGCGUUCUGGACUGUUUCUGACACUGAAAAACGAAAGCCAGGGGAGCAAACGGG
rnacentral:rRNA from 1 species